rnacentral:lncRNA from 1 species
CGCCAGGUCGAAUUGCUGCUUGUUGCACCACCAGGGGCGAUUGCACAGGGUUCUUUGCAUCGAUCACACAACAAAUGACCUCUUUAGCGAGGAACGUGUUAGUAGUAAAAGUAGAAAAUUCAUCGGAUAAGAAUUUUGCCGACGAAAUUCCUUUCUCGCUAGGUUGUUGAUGACUCGAUAUACGACCAAUGUGAAGUCUGGG